AUCCAUUCAUUCUCUGUCUUUUUCUCCAAUCCAGGGAGCAACCAGACCGUUUAGCAGCCCCCUUGCAGUGGAGACUCCCAGCCUAAAGAGAGAGGAAGGAAAAGA